UACGGAGGGAGCUAGCGUUGUUCGGAAUUACUGGGCGUAAAGCGCGCGUAGGCGGCUUUGUAAGUUAGAGGUGAAAGCCCGGGGCUCAACCCCCGGAACUGCCUUUAAGACUGCAUCGCUUGAAUCCAGGAGAGGUGAGUGGAAUUCCGAGUGUAGAGGUGAAAUUCGUAGAUAUUCGGAAGAACACCAGUGGCGAAGGCGGCUCACUGGACUGGUAUUGACGCUGAUGUGCGAAAGCGUGGGGAGCAAACAGG
rnacentral:rRNA from 1 species